CAUGUGCCAGGUGGGGAUUACAGCACAGACGUGUGUGUGUUGCUGCGUGUUCACACAAACCAUUUCUCCCGCCUCACAGACCAAGGUCACAUAUACGGUGCUGGCCUCACGCUGCAAUGUUCAAACAUUUGUUAGCAAUUAGCCUUAGCCACAAAACUGGCUUCAGAAUCCUCAGUCCCUCCCUGCCUCGCUCUCCUUCUUCUCUCACCCUUCUCCUUGUUCAUCCUGUCCCUUUUCUAGCCCCUCCCUCAUUUUCCACUUUCUUUGCCCCCCUCCCAUCUUCUCUCAUCUGACUUUCUUUCCUUCUGUUUCCCAGUUCUGACCUCCCUCCCUCUAAAUGUUGCACAUGGUUUGAAUGUUCACUUUUCUCAGGAUUUGGAUGAGGAGGGAGGAUGUUCGAGAGCUGCAGGCAAACACAAAAGAAGAUUGACUUUUCUUUUAAUAUUAAGUGUUUGGGGGUUUGGGAGUUUUUGGGACUGUGAGUAUUUUUGGUGACAGGUGGAACAUGUUGCAGAUGUGAGUUGGCCAGCACUUGAAUUAAGGCGUAUGCGUUUAUUGUGGAGAAUACAUACAGCGAGACCUUAAGCAAUCAGCACCAGUCAAACAUCAUGAAAGAAAACUAUGGAGGGUACGAGAACCAGCUUUUUAAAGGUAAAGAUGGAUAUUUCCAUCCAUUUAUCCAUCCUUUCCUGUUUUCCUUAAGGAUGAGGAAGAAUAGACUUUACAAAUACAUAUAUACUAGGGGUGUGUAUUGCCUGGCAUCUGGCGAUACGAUUCGUAUCCUGAUACAUAUGUCACGAUACGAUGCGAUGCGAUAUAUCCCGAUAUUAAAGUAUAAGACAAUUGUUGCAAUUUUAUAUAUAAAGCACAUAUAAUGUAAAGAGUAUUGGUCCCAAAACUGAACCUUGUGGAACUCCAUGAUUAACUCUGGCGUGCGCUGAGGAGAGAUUAUUUACAUGAACAAAGUGGGUUCUGUCUGAUGGGUCGGAUUUAAACCAACCCAGCAAUGUUUCUUUUAUCCCAAAAACACCUUCAUGAGAACAUUAUGUAUGAAAUAUAUUUUAUUGGCAUAUUUUACACUCAAAACAUUGUCUUUAACAUGCCACAAAAAUAACAUACAAUCUGCCUGUGGCUUUUAAACCAACCUUGACUUUAGUGCAACUUAACCGAUGUAUAUGUCUAGAACAACAAAUAAAUACAGAAAGUUCGUACUUUCUUUUUAGAUU
rnacentral:lncRNA from 1 species